rnacentral:tRNA from 1 species
UGCUCGGGUGGUGGAAUGGUAGACACUAGGGACUUAAAAUCCCUUGCUCUUACGAGCGUGCGGGUUCGAGUCCCGCCUCGAGCAU